UCAUAAACAACCAGGAUGUUGGCUCAGAAGCAGCCACCAUUUAAAGAGUGCGUAAUAGCUCACUGGUCGAGAGACCCUGCGCCGAAGAUUCCCGGGGCUAAAGUACGAAACCGAAGCUGUGGCUGUAUACGUAAAGUAUACGGGGUAGGGGAGCGUUCCCAUAGGGUAGAAGUCGAACUGGAAGGUUCGGUGGACUUGUGGGAAGUGAGAAUGUUGGUAUGAGUAGCGAAAAGAAAGGUGAGAAUCCUUUCCACCGAAAGCAUAAGGAUUCCUGAGCAACGAUCGUCGUCUCAGGGUAAGUCGGGACCUAAUCCGAGGCAGAGAGCGUAGGAGAUGGACAACUGGUUGAUAUUCCAGUACCGGUAGUAAUUGUUUGAGCAAUGGAGUGACACAGAAGGGCAGGCAAGCAUGCGAAUGGAAGAGCAUGUGUAAGCGUGUAGGGUGGUGCAUAGGCAAAUCCGUGCACUGAAAGCCUGAGGCGUGAUGCGGAGUGAGCAGAGAUGCGAGCGAAGUUGUUGACCCCACACUGUCGAGAAAAGCUUCUAGUGAGAGAGCUACCGCCCGUACCGUAAACCGACACAGGUAUGCGGGGAGAGAAUCCUAAGGUGCGCGGGAGAACCCUCGUUAAGGAACUCGGCAAAAUGUACCCGUAACUUCGGGAUAAGGGUAGCCACUGUUGUGAAGUCCCAUGCGGAUGGAGCAUAGAGUGGUCGCAGAGAAGAGGCCCAAGCGACUGUUUACCAUAAACACAGGUGCCUGCUAAAGCGAAAGCUGACGUAUAGGUGCUGACACCUGCCCAGUGCCGGAAGGUUAAGGAAGGAUGUUCGGAUUAGUCCAAAGCAUUCGACUGAAGCCCCGGUGAACGGCGGCCGUAACUAUAACGGUCCUAAGGUAGCGAAAUUCCUUGUCGGGUAAGUUCCGACCCGCACGAAAGGUGUAACGACUUGGGCACUGUCUCAACGAGGGACCCGGUGAAAUUGAAGUACCUGUGAAGAUGCAGGUUACCCGCGACUGGACAGAAAGACCCCAUGGAGCUUUACUGUAACCUGACAUUGGGUUUUGAUACAUUACGUACAGGAUAGGUGGGAGGCUUGGAAAGCUGGACGCUAGUCUGGCUGGAGCCGACGUUGGGAUACCACCCUUGAUGUAUUGAAAUUCUAACCGCGAGAGUAACGAAAUCCGGGACAGUGUCAGGCGGGCAGUUUGACUGGGGCGGUCGCCUCCGAAAGAGUAACGGAGGCGCCCAAAGGUUCCCUCAGCGCGGCCGGAAAUCGCGCGAAGAGUGUAAAGGCAGAAGGGAGCUUGACUGCGAGUCAAACACGACGAGCAGGUACGAAAGUAGGGCUUAGUGAUCCGGUGGUACCGAGUGGAAGGGCCAUCGCUCAACGGAUAAAAGCUACCCUGGGGAUAACAGGCUAAUCUCUCCCAAGAGUCCAUAUCGACGGGGAGGUUUGGCACCUCGAUGUCGGCUCAUCACAUCCUGGGGCUGAAGUCGGUCCCAAGGGUUGGGCUGUUCGCCCAUUAAAGUGGUACGUGAGCUGGGUUCAGAACGUCGUGAGACAGUUCGGUCCCUAUCCAUCGCGGGCGCAAGAGAUUUGAAGGGGGCUGCUCCUAGUACGAGAGGACCGGAGUGGACGAACCGCUGGUGUACCAAUUAUCCCGCCAGGGGUACAGUUGGGUAGCUACGUUCGGAAAGGAUAAACGCUGAAAGCAUCUAAGCGUGAAACCAGCCUUAAGAUGAGAUCUCUCAUAGAGCAAUCUAGUAAGACACCUUAAAGAAGAUGAGGUUGAUAGGUCGGGAGUGUAAGUACAGCAAUGUAUUGAGCGGACCGAUACUAAUAUGUCGAGGGCUUGACUUA
rnacentral:rRNA from 1 species